UCGGGAAUCUUGCACAAUGGGCGAAAGCCUGAUGCAGCAACGCCGUGUGAGCGAGGAAGGCCUUCGGGUCGUAAAGCUCUGUUGUUGGGGACGAAGGGCGAAGGGUUAAUAGCCCCUAGCCUGACGGUACCCUUCGAGGAAGCCCCGGCUAACUACGUGCCAGCAGCCGCGGUAAUACGUAGGGGGCGGGCGUUGUCCGGAAUUAUUGGGCGUAAAGAGCGUGUAGGCGGCCUGGUAAGUCUGCCGUGAAAACUUGGGGCUCAACCCCGAGCGUGCGGUGGAUACUGCUUGGCUAGAGGAUGGUAGAGGCGAGUGGAAUUCCCGGUGUAGCGGUGAAAUGCGUAGAUAUUGGGAAGAACACCAGUGGCGAAGGCGCUCUACUGGGCCAUGACUGACGCUGAGGGACGAAAGCUAGGGGAGCGAAAGGGAUUAGAUACCCCUGUAGUCC
rnacentral:rRNA from 1 species